GGGCGUUUAGCUCAGUUGGGAGAGCGCCUGCCUUACAAGCAGGAUGUCAGGAGUUCAAGUCUCUUAACGCCCA
rnacentral:tRNA from 1 species